UACGUAGGUGGCAAGCGUUGUCCGGAAUUAUUGGGCGUAAAGCGCGCGCAGGCGGUCCUUUAAGUCUGAUGUGAAAGCCCACGGCUCAACCGUGGAGGGUCAUUGGAAACUGGGGGACUUGAGUGCAGAAGAGGAAAGCGGAAUUCCACGUGUAGCGGUGAAAUGCGUAGAGAUGUGGAGGAACACCAGUGGCGAAGGCGGCUUUCUGGUCUGUAACUGACGCUGAGGCACGAAAGCGUGGGGAGCAAACAGG
rnacentral:rRNA from 1 species